ensembl:lncRNA
AGCUAGAAGAAUAAGAAGAAGAGUAAGAAUGAGAGGGGGAGCUCAAAGAGGAGAUGAAGGAGGAAGAGGAGGAUAAUUAGGAAGAGGCCUAGGUAGAGGAAGAGGAGAAGGAGAAUAAGGAAGAGGCCUAGGUAGAGGAAAAGGAGAAGGAGGUGGAGGAAGAGGUAGAGAAGGACUUGAAGAGUUGAUAGAACCUGAACAAAGAAGACGAGGACCAAAUUUGACUCAAGAAAUCCGUGCAACACUUACUGACCAUGUUAUCAACUAUGGACUGACACUGAUGGAAGCUGGACAAAGUUCAACCAAAUCUCAGUAAAAAUACUGUUGCGUAAGUAAUUCGGACAUUUCAUCGAGAAAACAGGAUUGAGGGUCGAGGACACCAAGGUGGAAGGGGCCCUAUGUUCACUCGUGCACAAUUGUUGAAUCCUCAAGAAAAAUCAAAUAUACAUGAAGCAACUGUAUCGGGUACCAUUUGACUGAAAUUCAGAGAGUGUGAAACAUCGGUGCAAUGAGUAUUUGGAGAGAUUCUUGCAAAUGGAUGCUGCAGAAAUUCUACAUGAAUUUAUAUAUGCGGAUGAGGCUGGAUUUAACCUUGCGAAAACAAGAAGAGGGAGUAAUAUAAUUUGACACAGGGCAAUCACCAAUGUUCCAGGGCAUCGAGGGGGUAACAUCACCCUUUGCACUGCGAUUACACACGAGAUUGUCACAGCAUUAAACCAAGUGGACCAGAUGCAGUACAUUGUUGUUUGGGAAAAUGUCUCAUUCCAUCGGGCUGCUCUGGUCUAGAACUGGUUCCAUGAGCACCCUGAAUUUGAAGUCUUAUACCUUCCCCCGUAUUCCCCCUUCCUAAAUCCAAUAGAAUUUUUUUUUUUCAGCAUGGCAGUGGAAGGUGGACCUGUGGCCCUAUGACCAUUUGCCCUUCGUUCAGGCCAUGGAGCAGGCCUGUGAUCAUAUCGAAGCAGCUUCUGUGCAGGGGUGGAUUCGUCACAUGAGGCGAUUCUUCCAAUGGUGCCUUGCUAAUGAAGACAUAGCCUAUGAUGUGGAUGAAAUCUUAUGGCCUGAUCCAGCCAGACAGAGAUGAUGAAUAGUUACAGUAUUCUUUUUGCUUUUUACAUGGUUUUUCUUCAGAGUCAAAGUGUAUGUACUUCAUGCAGUAAUUUUUAUUUGUCUACAGAUUUUGUUUAAUUGAUUUCAUUGUAACUGAUUAUGGUAAGAAAUACUGUAAGUAUUGUCUGUAACAUCAGUGUUGUGCAGUGUUUGGUAAGUUUAUAGUAGGCUUAUUUGUAUACAUUCUCCCUAUAUCUCAAACUAUUUAUGAAGAAUGUUGUGGGUUUUUCACUUUUUUUUUUUUUUUUCAUCUAAAUUAUCCCUUUACAUAACAAUGGCUGGCCAAAAAUCUAGCACAUGCUAUUUCCUAAAAUUAUUUAUUUAUUUAUUUUUUUUUUACAAAUGUUUAUUUAUCACAGCAGUGUGAAACUGGCUGCAAUUGUGUCUGAUCAUUGAGGACUGUGUUGGUUAAAUGAAAACUAAUAGCAUUUUCACAAAUAUGUGUAUAUGUUUUGACUGACGUGUGUAAUUUUGCAAACAAUCUAGGAAUUAUGCAAAUUGAGUGUGGUGUUUGGAUAAUUGUGAUUAUAUUUUUAAAAAAAG